rnacentral:rRNA from 1 species
AACGAACGCUGGCGGCAGGCCUAACACAUGCAAGUCGAACGGGUGUAGCAAUACAUCAGUGGCGCACGGGUGAGUAACACGUGGGAACGUACCCUUCACUACGGAACAACGUCGGGAAACUGACGCUAAUACCGUAUAAUGUCUUCGGACCAAAGAUUUAUCGGUGAAGGAUCGGCCCGCGUCUGAUUAGCUAGUUGGUGAGGUAAUGGCUCACCAAGGCGACGAUCAGUAGCUGGUCUUAGAGGAUGAUCAGCCACACUGGGACUGAGACACGGCCCAGACUCCUACGGGAGGCAGCAGUGAGGAAUCUUGGACAAUGGGCGCAAGCCUGAUCCAGCCAUGCCGCGUGCAGGAUGAAGGCCUUCGGGUUGUAAACUGCUUUUGUACGGAACGAAAAGACUCUUUCUAAUAAAGAGGGUCCAUGACGGUACCGUAAGAAUAAGCACCGGCUAACUACGUG